UUUCCGUAGGUGAACCUGCGGAAGGAUCAUUAUUGUAUAACCGAGGUGCGAGGGCUGUCGCUGACCCGAAAGGUCGUGCACGCCCGAGUGCCCUCACACACAUCCAUCUCACCCCUAUGUGCACCCCGCGUGGGUCCCCCUUUGGCUUGUUCGGAGGGGGGCUUACGUUUUCACACAAACUUUGUAUGCAGUGUAGAAUGUAUUUUUUGUUUUUGCGAUCACGCAAUCAAUACAACUUUCAACAACGGAUCUCUUGGCUCUC
rnacentral:misc_RNA from 1 species